rnacentral:rRNA from 1 species
CCUACGGGAGGCAGCAGUGAGGAAUAUUGGUCAAUGGACGAGAGUCUGAACCAGCCAAGUAGCGUGAGGGAUGACUGCCCUAUGGGUUGUAAACUUCUUUUAUAUGGGAAUAAAAUGUUCCACGUGUGGGAUUUUGUAUGUACCAUAUGAAUAAGGAUCGGCUAACUCCGUGCCAGCAGCCGCGGUAAUACGGAGGAUCCGAGCGUUAUCCGGAUUUAUUGGGUUUAAAGGGAGCGUAGGUGGAUUGUUAAGUCAGUUGUGAAAGUUUGCGGCUCAACCGUAAAAUUGCAGUUGAAACUGGCAGUCUUGAGUACAGUAGAGGUGGGCGGAAUUCGUGGUGUAGCGGUGAAAUGCUUAGAUAUCACGAAGAACUCCGAUUGCGAAGGCAGUUCACUGUACUGCAACUGACACUGAGGCUCGAAAGUGUGGGUAUCAAACAGGAUUAGAUACCCGGGUAGUC